GGGUUGUGAGGUUAAGCGACUAAGCGUACACGGUGGAUGCCCUGGCAGUCAGAGGCGAUGAAGGACGUGCUAAUCUGCGAUAAGCGUCGGUAAGGUGAUAUGAACCGUUAUAACCGGCGAUUUCCGAAUGGGGAAACCCAGUGUGUUUCGACACACUAUCAUUAACUGAAUCCAUAGGUUAAUGAGGCGAACCGGGGGAACUGAAACAUCUAAGUACCCCGAGGAAAAGAAAUCAACCGAGAUUCCCCCAGUAGCGGCGAGCGAACGGGGAGCAGCCCAGAGCCUGAAUCAGUGUGUGUGUUAGUGGAAGCGUCUGGAAAGGCGCGCGAUACAGGGUGACAGCCCCGUACACAAAAAUGCACAUGCUGUGAGCUCGAUGAGUAGGGCGGGACACGUGGUAUCCUGUCUGAAUAUGGGGGGACCAUCCUCCAAGGCUAAAUACUCCUGACUGACCGAUAGUGAACCAGUACCGUGAGGGAAAGGCGAAAAGAACCCCGGCGAGGGGAGUGAAAAAGAACCUGAAACCGUGUACGUACAAGCAGUGGGAGCCUCUUUAUGGGGUGACUGCGUACCUUUUGUAUAAUGGGUCAGCGACUUAUAUUCUGUAGCAAGGUUAACCGAAUAGGGGAGCCGAAGGGAAACCGAGUCUUAACUGGGCGUUAAGUUGCAGGGUAUAGACCCGAAACCCGGUGAUCUAGCCAUGGGCAGGUUGAAGGUUGGGUAACACUAACU
rnacentral:rRNA from 1 species